GAAGUAAAAGUCGUAACAAGGUUUCCGUAGGUGAACCUGCGGAAGGAUCAUUAACGUACAACGGAGGCGCGAGGGCUGUCGCUGGCCUUCAAAGGUCGUGCACGCUCGAAGCGUUCUCUCGCACAUCCAUCUCACCCCCUUUGUGCAUCACCGCGCGGGUCCUCCUUACGGAGGGCUCACGUUUUCACAUAAAAACUCGAUACAGUAUAGAAUGUUUUCUUUUUAGUUUGCGGUCACACGCAAUCAAUACAACUUUCAACAACGGAUCUCUUGGCUCUCGCAUCGAUGAAGAACGCAGCGAAAUGCGAUACGUAAUGUGAAUUGCAGAAUUCAGUGAAUCAUCGAAUCUUUGAACGCACCUUGCGCCCCUUGGCAUUCCGAGGGGCACACCCGUUUGAGUGUCGUGAAAUCAUCAAAAUCCCUUUUCUUUUUGAAAAGGGGUUUUGGACUUGGAGGUUUGAUGCUCGCUUUCACUSCCGAAAGCGAGCUCCUCUCAAAUGAAUCAGUGGGGUUUGCUUUGCCGAUCCUUGACGUGAUAAGAUGCUUCUACGUUUUGGACUUGGCAUCGUGCCCGCUUCUAACYGUCUCAUGGACAACGAUGGUGCUUCGGUCGUCGCCAUUCACACUGGCGGGAGGCUGGACCCACAUGCAAAGCCUUGACCUCAAAUCGGGUGAGACUACCCGCUGAACUUAAGCAUA
rnacentral:rRNA from 1 species